ACGGAGGGUCCGAGCGUUAAUCGGAAUUACUGGGCGUAAAGCGCACGCAGGCGGUUUGUUAAGCUAGAUGUGAAAGCCCCGGGCUCAACCUGGGAAUUGCAUUUAGAACUGGCAGGCUAGAGUUUUGGAGAGGGGAGUGGAAUUCCAGGUGUAGCGGUGAAAUGCGUAGAUAUCUGGAGGAACAUCAGUGGCGAAGGCGACUCCCUGGUCAAUAACUGACGCUCAUGUGCGAAAGUGUGGGUAGCGAACAGG
rnacentral:rRNA from 1 species